CACUCCUACGGGAGGCAGCAGUGGGGAAUAUUGCACAAUGGGCGCAAGCCUGAUGCAGCCAUGCCGCGUGUAUGAAGAAGGCCUUCGGGUUGUAAAGUACUUUCAGCGGGGAGGAAGGCAAUACGGUUAAUAACCGUGUUGAUUGACGUUACCCGCAGAAGAAGCACCGGCUAACUCCGUGCCAGCAGCCGCGGUAAUACGGAGGGUGCAAGCGUUAAUCGGAAUUACUGGGCGUAAAGCGCACGCAGGCGGUCUGUCAAGUCGGAUGUGAAAUCCCCGGGCUCAACCUGGGAACUGCAUUCGAAACUGGCAGGCUUGAGUCUUGUAGAGGGGGGUAGAAUUCCAGGUGUAGCGGUGAAAUGCGUAGAGAUCUGGAGGAAUACCGGUGGCGAAGGCGGCCCCCUGGACAAAGACUGACGCUCAGGUGCGAAAGCGUGGGGAGCAAACAGGAUUAGAAACCCCGGUAGUCCCA
rnacentral:rRNA from 1 species